rnacentral:rRNA from 1 species
AGGACGAACGCUGGCGGCGUGCUUAACACAUGCAAGUCGAACGGAAAGGCCCUGCUUUUGUGGGGUGCUCGAGUGGCGAACGGGUGAGUAACACGUGAGUAACCUGCCCUUGACUUUGGGAUAACUUCAGGAAACUGGGGCUAAUACCGGAUAGGAGCUCCUGCUGCAUGGUGGGGGUUGGAAAGUUUCGGCGGUUGGGGAUGGACUCGCGGCUUAUCAGCUUGUGGUGGGUAGUGGCUUACCAGGCUUUGACGGGUA